AAGAGCUCGUAGGCGGUUUGUCGCGUCUGUCGUGAAAGUCCGGGGCUUAACCCCGGAUCUGCGGUGGGUACGGGCAGACUAGAGUGCAGUAGGGGAGACUGGAAUUCCUGGUGUAGCGGUGGAAUGCGCAAAUAUCAGGAGGAACACCGAUGGCGAAGGCAGGUCUCUGGGCUGUAACUGACGCUGAGGAGCGAAAGCAUGGGGAGCGAACAGGAUUAGAUACCCUGGUAGUCCAUGCCGUAAACGUUGGGCACUAGGUGUGGGGACCAUUCCACGGUUUCCGCGCCGCAGCUAACGCAUUAAGUGCCCCGCCUGGGGAGUACGGCCGCAAGGCUAAAACUCAAAGGAAUUGACGGGGGCCCGCACAAGCGGCGGAGCAUGCGGAUUAAUUCGAUGCAACGCGAAGAACCUUACCAAGGCUUGACAUGUUCUCGAUCGCCGUAAAGAUACGGUUUCCCCUUUGGGGCGGGUUCACAGGUGGUGCAUGGUUGUCGUCAGCUCGUGUCGUGAGAUGUUGGGUUAAGUCCCGCAACGAGCGCAACCCUCGUUCCAUGUUGCCAGCACGUAGUGGUGGGGACUCAUGGGGAGACUGCCGGGGUCAACUCGAGAGAAAGGUGAGGACGACGUCAAAAUCAUCAUGCCCCAUAAUGUCUUGGGCUUCACGCAUGCUACAAUGGGCCGGGUACAAUGGGUUGCGAUACUGUGAGGUGGAGCUAAUCCCAAAAGCCGGGUCUCAGUUCGAGAUUGGGGUCUGCACUCGACCCC
rnacentral:rRNA from 1 species